UGGGGAAUUUUGCGCAAUGGGCGAAAGCCUGACGCAGCGACGCCGCGUGUGCGAUGAAGGCCUUUGGGUCGUAAAGCACUGUCGAGUGGAACGAAAUCUUCGGAGCUAAUACCUCCGGAGUUUGACGGUACCGCUAAAGGAAGCACCGGCUAACUCUGUGCCAGCAGCCGCGGUAAUACAGAGGGUGCAAACGUUGCUCGGAAUUAUUGGGCGUAAAGCGCGUGUAGGCGGUCCAUCAAGUCGGUUGUGAAAGCCCUUGGCUCAACCAAGGAAGUGCGUCCGAGACUGGUGGGCUAGAGUUCUGAAGAGGGUGGCGGAAUGCGCAGUGUAGAGGUGAAAUUCGUAGAUAUUGCGUAGAACACCAGUGGCGAAGGCGGCCACCUGGAAAGCGACUGACGCUGAGACGCGAAAGCGUGGGGAGCAAACAG
rnacentral:rRNA from 1 species